rnacentral:sRNA from 1 species
CCCCCGUGGUUCAGGGGGAGGGUUCGAGCCGAUCAGAGGUUCGACAAAGCCGCGCAGCGGCUUUGAACGUCACGCGAAGCGUGGCGGCCCGGAGGGCGGAGGGCCGGAGGCCCGGAGUAAUCCUCCCCCCUCCACCA